AAUAAACUCAAUUCCUGUUGACACCAGCAAAUCCAGAUUUCAGCAAAGACCCACAAAGGCCCUGACCACAUAACAGAGAGAAAGUGCUCUUUUCCCCCCAUAAUCCAAGCCCCUGCUCACUGUGAGAACUUCCCUCACCACACACAUGCAAAAGGGGAACCAACCAGUUAUUAGAGCAAGACCCAGCCAUGUGCUACAUGGAAUGGGGAAGACUAGGUAAGUUCGUUGUUGUGUUUUUCAAAUGAUCCCUCUAUAAAGUUCAUGUC
rnacentral:lncRNA from 1 species